rnacentral:rRNA from 1 species
UACGAACUGUGCGAACGUUAUUCGGAAUCACUGGGCUUACAGGGUGCGUAGGCGGCCUUUCAAGUCAGGUGUGAAAGCCCUCGGCUCAACCGAGGAACUGCGCUUGAAACUGAAGGGCUCGAGUCAGCUAGAGGUGCACGGAACUUCCAGUGGAGCGGUGAAAUGUGUUGAUAUUGGAAGGAACACCGGAGGCGAAAGCGGUGCACUGGGGCUGGUCUGACGCUGAGGCACGAAAGCGUGGGGAGCAAACAGG